rnacentral:rRNA from 1 species
GACGAACGCUGGCGGCGUGCUUAACACAUGCAAGUCGAACGGAAAGGCCCUGCUUUUGUGGGGUGCUCGAGUGGCGAACGGGUGAGUAACACGUGAGUAACCUGCCCUUGACUUUGGGAUAACUUCAGGAAACUGGGGCUAAUACCGGAUAGGAGCUCCUGCUGCAUGGUGGGGGUUGGAAAGUCUCGGCGGUUGGGGAUGGACUCGCGGCUUAUCAGCUUGUUGGUGGGGUAGUGGCUUACCAAGGCUUUGACGGGUAGGCGGCCUGAGAGGGUGACCGGCCACAUUGGGACUGAGAUACGGCCCAGACUCCUACGGGAGGCAGCAGUGGGGAAUAUUGCACAAUGGGCGGAAGCCUGAUGCAGCAACGCCGCGUGCGGGAUGACGGCCUUCGGGUUGUAAACCGCUUUCGCCUGUGACGAAGCGUGAGUGACGGUAAUGGGUAAAGAAGCACCGGCUAACUACGUG